rnacentral:lncRNA from 1 species
AUGCCAGGUGGGACCUGCUUCGGUGAGGACGCCCUCCCAUUGCAGGGAGACCCACACUCGCCCACCCUCUCACUCACCCACAUUCACACCCACACUCACCCUCACCCACACCCUCACUCAUUCACACUCACCCUCACCCACACACUCACCCCUACUCACCCCACACUCACACUCACCCACACCCUCACUCACCCACAUUCACCCUCACUCAUCCACACACCCUCACCCACACUCCUUGACUCACCCACACACCCACACUCCCUCACUCACCCACACUCACCCUCAUCCACACUCACCCUCACUCACCCACACUCACCCACACUCACCCUCACUCACCCACACUCACCCUCACCCACACUCACCCUCACUCACCCACUCACCCUCACUCACCCACACUCACCCUCACCCACACUCACCCUCACUCACCCACACUCACCCUCAUCCACACUCACCCUCACUCACCCACACUCACCCUCAUCCACACUCACCCUCACUCACCCUCACUCACCCACACUCACCCUCAUCCACACUCACCCUCACUCACCCACACUCACCCUUACUCACCCACACUCACCCUCACUUACCCACACUCACCCUCAUCCACACUCACCCUCACUCACCCUCACUCACUCACACUCACCCUCAUCCACACUCACCCUCACUCACCCACACUCACCCUCACUCACCCACACUCACCCACACCCCUCACUCACCCACACUCACCCUCACUCACCCACACUCACCCACACUCACCCUCACUCACCCUCACUUACCCACACUCACCCUCAUCCACACUCACCCUCACCCACACUCACCCUCAUCCACACUCACCCACACUCACCCUCAUCCACACCCACCCACACUCACCCUCACUCACCCUCACCCACACUCACCCUCAUCCACACUCACCCUCACCCACACACCCACACCCUCACCCACAAUCACCCUCACUCAUCCAUACUCACCCUCACUCACCCACCCUCACCCACCCUCACCCUCACACACUCACCCCUACUCACCCACAUCCACUCACACUCACCCAUGCUCACUUUCACCCAUGCUCACCCACACUCAACCACACACACCCACACUGAGACCACGGAGACAUGCCAGUUCAGCUAA